rnacentral:lncRNA from 1 species
CCGGUAUUUCUCUAUGUCCUCACGCAUCUGGAGGUGUUGGGGAUUGGCGACAAAGAACGUGUGAGCAGCAGACACUGCCUGGUCCAGCUUCUUCAGCUGGAAGAAGGCCACCUGGAGGUAGUUGUAGGGCUCUCUCCGCUCGAAGUCCCGCUGGAUAACAAGGCUGGCGCGGUGCGCGGAGGGCGCGGCGCCCAGCCGGCUCCCCAGGCAAUGCUGCAGGCAGUCGGCACGCUGCAGCACCCGGUCGAAGAGGGCGGCUUCCCAGGGCCCCGCGGCCGGCGGCUCGCCGAGAAAGGCGGCCUCUCGGAGGCAGGCAUCCCGGCAGGCGAGACGGGCCGCCCGCAGCCCCGCGUAGCUGUACAGGGCGCGCUGCAGCAGCUCGGCCGCCCGCCCCCAGUCCCGGGCGAAGUACGCCCGCACGCCGUCGGCGUACAGCAGGUCGUAGGGCACCAGGCGGCCCGCGACCGAGGACGUGGCGGCGGGGAGCAGGAGGAGGAGGAGGAGGCAGACGAGCGAGGCCAUGGCCGAGCCGCCGAGCGGUAGGAGGAGCGGGAGGCGACGGGGGUCUGCGAGCGGGUGGAGGCACUGGCGGCCCCGGCUGGACACACCCAGGGGGCCGGGCGGUGAGCGGGCUCCGGCGCUGCGGGAGGAGUAACGGGGCAGGGGUCCGUGCUAGGCCCGCUCGGCCCGCGCCGUGUGUGUGGUAGCCGACAGCCACCCGUCGUUGUGCUGCCGCCGUCCGCUCGUGUCGGGCCCUGGGAGCGGUGCUGCAGACCUGCCCGCUCUUCACGGGCGCUUGGACCAACCCCGGGCUGGGCCCGUGCAGCCAGCAGAGCCCUGACAUGGCCUGCUGCGGUUCUGCGUCCGGACAUCCACCAGGCCACGGCUAACCUGACCCUUCCUUCAGGCCGGGGGACCUCGGCCCUCUGACGGAAAGGCGCUGAAGAGGUUAAGGCAUGUUUAUGAGAACCCCUGCAGGACACACAUCGACCUGUUACAGUUCAGAAGCUUCCGUCGUGUGGUGGAGUGCUUGGCUGGUGAAAGACAACAUACCUGCCAGUCUCUCUCAUGCAGCUAUCCCAUUCACUUGUGGCUGCAGCUUCAACCAGCAUGAGGAAGGAGAAGUCUCAUCUCCAACAUACCACCACACUUCUCUUCCAAGAGUUUUGAGCAGAGCACAAGCUUGAUUUAGCCCUCACUGUUCCCAGCUUUGGUGGUGUGGAAGCCUGGAGCCCUGCAUGCAGAGGCUCUGGCAGCUUUCCUGAGCUGGCUGCUGCCUGGCUGAGAAGUUUGGACUACAGUGUUUUGUACAAAGUCAUGAAGUUUGCACUGGAAUCAGCAGAUUGCACCAGUGGAAACAUGACUUCAUGAGUCAGGGUCUUUCUGGAGAGGAUUUAAGUUUUCAAAACAACACUACUUCAAAAAUCACAGAGGCAGCUCCUGUUUAGUUGUAGGCAGCCUAGGUCUCCAUUGCAAUGGAGAUAGAAUCUUUUCACCCCCUCUCCAAAUGAUGACUCUUCAGUAUGGGCGCUGUACCCUCCCAUGGGCUGCGGGGCAUCUGCUGCCUCCCAGAUACACUAACAAGAGAGGAAGUGCGCCCCACACAUUUGGCAUUUCCCUUCCAGAAGCCAGUGAAUCUUCAUUAAACACUGGGCCAAUCAUUUUGUUUCUAUGGAAACAAAAUUAUUACUAAUAUAUUAUUUUAAAAACAGACACACGGUUGACACUUCAAAUAUAGAAUUUUAAUACCAUUCUGUGCUUGCCUCGUCUCUUAGGGCAGAGCGAAUGCAAGGGUGGAGUUCACAAAGGGACAAGACUGCCAAGGGUGCCAAGUGGCUGUUGCAGCGGUGGGUAUUUGUAACCUGAGGGCAGGCACAGGCUGUCCGUGUCUGUGGAGCUCCAUUCUGCAGAUCUGCUACACUUCUCUUACCAUGGAGUGCCAUGUUUCCUGCCUGCUGGCGAGAAAGAUGAGAAUGUCAGUUAGUAAUCAAGUCCCGGGACAAGGGGAAGGUUUGAAGUUUUAUUUAAAAAUAAUGAUGGCACUGAAUGUUUCUGAUGCUGUCUCUCAUAAUUUGGGAUCCUGGAGGGGCUGUGCCUCACAGGCCUCAGGGGUCCUUUCACGCGGUGCCUGUUCCUCAUCCUGCAGAUGCCAGGCCUCACUGCCAGCCAGAGAGCAGCACCGUGGCCGGUUGGUGCUCUCCUCCUCUCUGCUGCCGAGCGAGAGGCGGCGAUCGCGGCAUGCUGCAAUUGGGAGACGGGAGUGCCGUGGGCUGCAGACUGGGGUGGGCUGUGGUGUCUCAUCGAUGAACGUGGUGAUCUCAUCUCGGAAGAAGCAGGCACUGGAGCUGGACCCCCGGGGCACCAGCCCGCCCUCCAAAAACUGCCGUAGAGAUGUCAGCUCAUCUUCUGGGGGCUGCUGGCGGUGCUGGUAGUCAUGUAGCUGAGGAGGCAAGAAUCCAGGGCCUCCAGGCUUGCGGAGGGUGGAAAUGCGGAUGUCAUCAGAUGAAGACCACUUGUGUAGGAAGGAUGGAGCGGAGCGGUGGGCAGAGAAGAUGUUAGUCUCAUCAUGUGACAUCCUCCGUGAGAUAGGGACCUGGGUGAUGGAGAAGGAGGCAGGCAAUGAAAGACUUGGAGAAAAGAAGGGGAGUAUUUGAGGCCUGCUGAGGGAAGUGCCUAAAGGACACGAACAUAGGAGAUGGGCAGAGAAUGAAGUAGGUUAUGGGUCUGCACUACUAGCUUUCAGCUCACCUGCAGAUAAUGCACCUUGUCCUGGGGCAACAACAUGUGGUGCAUUGGUAGCAGUUUGAUGUCCCGAGAGUCCCGCUUCACAGCUGCAGCACCAUUGGCAUCAAAUCUUACUUUGCAGAUCCUGCCAUCCCCAUAAUCAUCACACACACCAUCUGUUGGCAAAGAGGAGUAUGGCAGUCAGAAGAUGAGCAUUAUCAGUACACGCGGAUGUCAUCCUAACACCUGACCUGUGCCACCCUACUUGCAGCCAUCAGGACUGAUGUCUGAACAAGGACCUCUGCUUUCUGCUUCCAGCAGAAAGGACACAGAGACUGCCUUACGCCUUAUUUUUUCUGUCCCACUUUGGAAUCCUUCCCUGCCAGGACUUGGACCUUUGGAUCAGCUGGUUGGCCUGAGGGCUGCUGUGUCUUUCGC